UUUGAUGGCGACCGGCGCACGGGUGAGUAACACGUAUCCAACCUNCCGAUGACUCGGGGAUAGCCUUUCGAAAGAAAGAUUAAUACCCGAUGGCAUAGUUCUUCCGCAUGGUGGAACUAUUAAAGAAUUUCGGUCAUCGAUGGGGAUGCGUUCCAUUAGGUUGUUGGCGGGGUAACGGCCCACCAAGCCUUCGAUGGAUAGGGGUUCUGAGAGGAAGGUCCCCCACAUUGGAACUGAGACACGGUCCAAACUCCUACGGGAGGCAGCAUG
rnacentral:rRNA from 1 species